UGGUGUGACUGUUGCUAAAGAGGUAUGAUAUUUCUCAAUUCUUGUAGUGUUUUGUUGUCUAUACAACUUGAAGCAGAUGGUAGUUAUCUAAAUUUUAUUUUUUAUGUGGAUGUUAAUUUAGAUACAGGAGUAGGUGCUUUGCAUCUUGUGUGAUGGUCAUGACAUUUCAACUUUUCCAUAUAUUCCCAUCGUGACAACUGUGGUUAUUUUCUAUUCUAUGUUAGGUUUGUUUCCCCCUUUUCACAAUUUGUAGGUGAACAUUCUAUGUUAUUGAUCAAAUGCUACACCUGAAUUUUCUAGGUUGAAUUGGAGGAUCCGGUUG
rnacentral:misc_RNA from 1 species